GACGAACGCUGGCGGCGUGCCUAAUACAUGCAAGUCGAGCGCAGGAAAUCGACGGAACCCUUCGGGGGGAAGUCGACGGAAUGAGCGGCGGACGGUGAGUAACACGUAAAGAACCUGCCCUCAGGUCUGGGAUAACCACGAGAAAUCGGGGCUAAUACCGGAUGGGUCAUCGGACCGCAUGGUCCGAGGAUGAAAGGCGCUUCGGGGUCGCCUGGGGAUGGCUUUGCGGUGCGUUAGCUAGUUGGUGGGGUAAUGGCCCACCAAGGCGACGAUGCAUAGCCGACCUGAGAGGGUGAUCGGCCACACUGGGACUGAGACACGGCCCAGACUCCUACGGGAGGCAGCAGUAGGGAAUCUUCCACAAUGGACGAAAGUCUGAUGGAGCAACGCCGCGUGAACGAUGAAGGCCUUCGGGUCGUAAAGUUCUGUUGUAAGGGAAGAACAAGUGCCGCAGGCAAUGGCGGCACCUUGACGGUACCUUGCGAGAAAGCCACGGCUAACUACGUGCCAGCCGCCGCGGUAA
rnacentral:rRNA from 1 species